rnacentral:rRNA from 1 species
UACGAAGGGGGCUAGCGUUGUUCGGAUUUACUGGGCGUAAAGCGCGUGUAGGCGGACUUGUACGUUGGGGGUGAAAUCCCGAGGCUCAACCUCGGAACUGCCUCCAAAACUACAAGUCUGGAGCAAGAUAGAGGCAAGUGGAAUUGCGAGUGUAGAGGUGAAAUUCGUAGAUAUUCGCAGGAACACCAGUGGCGAAGGCGACUUGCUGGAUCUUUGCUGACGCUGAGACGCGAAAGCGUGGGGAGCAAACAGG